rnacentral:rRNA from 1 species
CCUAUAAGGGAAGUCGGGAAAGUUUUUUCGCUAUGGGAUCGGGCUAUAUGAUAUCAGCUUGUUGGUGAGGUAACGGCUCACCAAGGCUAUGACAUCUAACUGGUCUGAGAGGAUGAUCAGUCACACUGGAACUGAGACACGGUCCAGACUCCUACGGGAGGCAGCAGUGGGGAAUAUUACACAAUGGAGGAAACUCUGAUGUAGCAACGCCGCGUGGAGGAUGACACAUUUCGGUGCGUAAACUCCUUUUAUACAGGAAGAUAAUGACGGUACUGUAUGAAUAAGCACCGGCUAACUCCGUGCCAGCAGCCGCGGUAAUACGGAGGGUGCAAGCGUUACUCGGAAUCACUGGGCGUAAAGCGCGCGCAGGCGGCCCCUUAAGUUGGAAGUGAAAUCCUAUGGCUCAACCAUAGAACUGCUUCCAAAACUGGGGGGCUAGAGUCUGGGAGGGGAAGAUGGAAUUAGUGGUGUAGGGGUAAAAUCCGUAGAGAUCACUAGGAAUACCAAAAGCGA